rnacentral:rRNA from 1 species
UACGAAGGGGGCUAGCGUUGCUCGGAAUCACUGGGCGUAAAGCGCACGUAGGCGGAUCUUUAAGUCAGGGGUGAAAUCCCAAGGCUCAACCUUGGAACUGCCUUUGAUACUGGGGAUCUCGAGUCCGGAAGAGGUUGGUGGAACUGCGAGUGUAGAGGUGAAAUUCGUAGAUAUUCGCAAGAACACCAGUGGCGAAGGCGGCUCACUGGCCCGGAACUGACGCUGAGACGCGAAAGCGUGGGGAGCGAACAGG